GCCCCGUGAUGAUACCAAGGCGAAUGUGAGCUUACUGAUUGCGAGUCUGAGUUCUCCUGUGAUCCUUUUGGCUGGUAAUCUUGACAGGGCAGUGGAGAUUUGCUGCUUUGUUGUAAGGGCCAGCCUACAGUCACCAAGCCUCUUCACUCCCUCACUUAUCUAAAGGAAAGAGUGAAGUGCAUGAGUGGAGGGUGCUGACAGUGUGUGUGUGUGUGUGUGUGUGUGUGUGUGCCGACGCAUGUGUGGUCGCAGAUGGAUUCUCAGCACUUUGCUUUAUUCAGUAGGCUCUGAACUGCAUCUUUGGUAAUCUGAGGGUG